rnacentral:tRNA from 2 species
UGGGCUGUAGCCAAGUGGUAAGGCAAUAGACUUUGACUCUAUCAUGCGUUGGUUCGACCCCAACCAGCCCAG